CAAAAACAUAGCCAUAAGUCAUUACUUAUGGUAUUUUCUGCUCAAUGAGAUAUUAAAUAGCCGCAGUACACUGACUGUGCAAAGGUAGCGUAAUAAUUUGUCUUCUAAUUAAAGUCUUGUAUGAAUGAAUAUAUGGGGGCCUACUAUACCAGUAACAUAAAAAUGAAGUUACUUAAUGAGUGCAAAUACUCAUAUAUAAAUAAUAGACGAGAAGACCCUAGAAAUUUAUGUAGAUAUUUUGUUGGGGCAACAGGGUAACAAUUAAUUUACUUGUGUAUAUGAAAUAAAUUGGAAAAAUUAAAUUACUCUAGGGAUAACAGCAUAAUCUAUGAAUGUUUGUGACCUCGAUGUUGGAUUAGGAAAUUGCAACUUAGAAGGUAACCAAUAAAGCUCUGUUCGAGCU
rnacentral:rRNA from 1 species